CGGGGUGUGGCGCAGUUGGUAGCGCGCCUGCUUUGGGAGCAGGAAGUCGCCGGUUCGAGUCCGGUCACCCCGACCG
rnacentral:tRNA from 1 species